rnacentral:snoRNA from 1 species
GUGCAAUGAAUGUAUUGGAUAAGUUUCGGCUGAUUCUGAUUGAUGUAAACUUUGUAACUUGCUGAGCAC